rfam:Oryza punctata chromosome 9, whole genome shotgun sequence.
AAAAAAUACAGUUUUGCACUUUUCAUGUCCAACAUUUGAUCACCCAUCUUAUUUGAAAAAAAAUUAUGAUUAGUAUUUUUACUAUUAUUAGAUGAUAAAACAUGAAUUAUACUUUAUGUAUGACUAAUUUUUUUAAAAAAAAUUCAUAAUUUUUUUAAAUAAGACGGAUGGUCAAAUGUUGAACACGGAAACCCACGACUACACUUAGA